rnacentral:tRNA from 1 species
AGGGGUAUAGCUCAGAGGUAGAGCAUUCGAUUGCAGAUCGAGAGGUCGCUCGGUUCAAAUCGGAGCGCCCCCU